rnacentral:sRNA from 1 species
GUGGCUCACGCCUGUAAUCCCAGCACUUUGGGAGGCUGAGGUGGGUAGAUCACCUGAGGUCAGGAGUUCGAGACCAGCCUGGCCAACAUGGUGAAACCCCAUCUCUACUAAAAAAAAAACAAAAACACAUUAGCUGGGCACCUGUAAUCUCAGCUACUUGUGAGGCUGAGGCAGGAGAAUCACUUGAACCUGGGAGGUAGAGGGCGAGGUGGGCUGCUUCCUCAGCCAUCACUCCAUCUGGGAAGAGGUGGUUGCCAGGGGCCUGGCCCGGGUCCUGGUGUUUGAGGAUGACGUGCGCUUUGAGAGCAACUUCAGGGGGCGGCUGGAGCGGCUGAUGGAG